rnacentral:rRNA from 1 species
GUGAACGCUGGCGGUAGGCCUAACCCAUGCAAGUCGAACGGCAGCACAGUAAGAGCUUGCUCUUACGGGUGGCGAGUGGCGGACGGGUGAGGAAUACAUCGGAAUCUACUUUUUCGCGGGGGAUAACGUAGGGAAACUUACGCUAAUACCGCAUACGACCUACGGGUGAAAGCAGGGGAUCUUCGGACCUUGCGCGAUUGAAUGAGCCGAUGUCGGAUUAGCUAGUUGGCGGGGUAAAGGCCCACCAAGGCGACGAUCCGUAGCUGGUCUGAGAGGAUGAUCAGCCACACUGGAACUGAGACACGGUCCAGACUCCUACGGGAGGCAGCAGUGGGGAAUAUUGGACAAUGGGCGCAAGCCUGAUCCAGCCAUACCGCGUGGGUGAAGAAGGCCUUCGGGUUGUAAAGCCCUUUUGUUGGGAAAGAAAAGCAGCAGGUUAAUACCCCGCUGUUCUGACGGUACCCAAAGAAUAAGCACCGGCUAACUUCGUG